CCCACUUUCUCAAUAAAACGUCCAUGUUACCUGACUUUCGGACCAGCCUGUCUCUGAGCUCCCUCACCGAUAAGUCGGGGAGGGUGAGCUAGACGGCCGCUAAAUCUAAGCUCCUGCGCACUUCGCCCAAGAGCAGCCGCCCGCGCGCCCGCCCCGCAGCCAGGAAGCUAAACAAUAACGAGAAUAACGGUGGGAAGGAAAAGGCAGACAAACGGGGCGGGGCCUGGAAAAGGCGGGGACAAGGCGGCAGGUACUGAUUGGCCAGGCUCGAUCAUCUCUGCGCUCGGCUGCGGUUGCCCGCGUGCCGCCCAUCAUCCGCUCAGCGCUCCUCAGUCGGCGGGACGGCCUCCCGGCCUGGCCUAAGAAGCCGCUGUCCGCCAUGUCUACUGCCAUGAACUUCGGGACCAAGAGUUUCCAGCCCCGGCCCCCGGAGAAGGGCAGCUUCCCGCUGGACCAUUUCGGCAGCUAAUGGCACAAGAAUCACUGGAAAAGCUGGGAUUUAAAGAUCUAAUGGAUGAAAAAUCAGAAACAAAAAAGAACUUGGAACGAGAAGAAAACAAUUGAAUUGCUUCUAACAGGAAUCCUCUGUAGUGGUAUAUAUUGUACAUUCUUUCUCUUCUUUAAUUCUUCCUACCAUCUAUGAGAGAUUAAUGUUUGACAUGAUGGAUAUUAAAAUCUUAACUUAGGAAAGGUACUUUGUUUUAGAGGAUUCUCUUUUUUCAAUAUUCACUUUGAAUAAGUCAGGGACAAGAAAUCAAAAUGAUGUUACCCAUGUAUUGCUAAUGUCAGUCUAUGGGUAAGAGUCUAAUUCUGACAUGAACCAAAGUUAGGAAAAAUGCUUACUUUCAUAAAAUACAUUUACUCUUUUAUUGUUGUCAUUUGGUAAAAAUAUCUUUUUUUAGAGGCUUGCCUAAAAAAGGUAUGGGAUUGGAUGGGAGGAUUUUUGUUUUUGCCAAAACAUGGGCCUUUCUUCAUUCCAAUUAUUGGCACAUAAUGUAAAUAUAAGAAUAUAUGUGAUUUGAUAGAAAUGUUUGUAAAUAGAUGGCUUUUAUAUCUACCAAUCUAUAAUUUUAAUAAGAGUAUUAUUAAUAUAUUUUUGAUUUAACUAAAUGACUACAAAGUUGUCUAUACAGCUCUUAUCAGAAAAUAAAAAUGCAAUUUGCCUACAGAAUAUUUUCUUCACUGUGCAGAAAUGUGUAUCUUUUUUGAUUAAAGUGAAAAAAAUACAAAAAGUGAGAAAUUUUUGUCUACAUUUUUCAGUUAUGAUAAUUUGCAGAUUCUAGAUAUGUUUCCAAAUAAUUCAGCUAUUUGUCUCAGCCUUUAUAAAGUUAGACCAAUAUUUUAAAACUUGUCUAUUUUCACUUAUUGAAAAAUAGAACAUCUGGGACUUCAUCAACAUAAUAAAAUCAUAUUGUUUUACUUUUAUAGAAACUUCUGUAAAUCUUAUCUCAGCAUUGUUACAUCAAAUUCUCUGUCAAAAACAAAAUGUUAUAAUGGUGAUAUCUUUUCAUAUUUUUCCUCACCAGUAUUUGAGUAUAUACAGUCUGCCCGGUAACAUAUCCAUAAUACUUGAUUAAGUGCAAUAUUUUGCCCCUUUAAUUGAUUAGUCUGCUUCUAGAUGCCCUUUCUCUGUAAGUGGGAUUUGGGAAUAUACUUCACUUGAUAUAAUUUUAGGCUGGAUGAAAUACAGCUUCAUCUUUGUUUAUUCCUCUGCUUUUGGUAUAAACUUUACUAGUGGUAAAAGGCAAGGAAUUUGUCUCCUACCUCACCAUGUCAGCCGUGCCAGUGUGGCAUCAGUCCAUACUAAGCAAAAUUAUUAGUAGAGAGCUGGCUGAGGUCCAGAUCCCUCUCUUGCAUAAAGGAAAGCUUUGGGAAAAGUUUGGUGCUCUACGCUCCAGUCAGAAAGGAAAGAAGGCUGAGGAAGUUGUUGAGAUGGAGGAGGUGUGGAGGAUCCAAACCUGAGUUAAUCAACAUGAAGAUGAGAUUUCAGAUGAUCAGUUUAUUUUGGGUGGGGUACCAUUCCUUGGAGUCCAAACCAGUACUUUGCUGAAAAACAGUAGAAACUAUACCCAAAGUAUAUAAUAUAAAAAUAGAAAAUAAUGGGCUGGGGUGGGGUGUUAACUGCAAUGGCCUCUAGCAGAAGAUGAUGCUUGAGUUGAUUUUUGUUGGAUACUCAGUUCCAAGAGAAGGGAAGCACCUUCUAAGCAUAAGAAGAUGCUCUAUGAAUAGCAAAGUCAUUUGCAGCUGGUCAUUCUAGAACAUUGCUAUUAUGUACAGUAAUUUCACUUUGCUUGACUUCAUGGAGGAUUUUCCAGGUUUGUUAGUUUUUUCCUGAGAGCAUCCUACUCACCAUUUCCUAUAGAACAAUGAUAUUCUAUCAUUAGAAGAGCCUUCAUCCAAUUGAUGGUCAUCUCCUCAAUUUCCAAUUUUUUUUUUUACCCUGAAAGUUGCUAUGAAUAUUUUUGUGUACAUAUAUAAGUAAUUUUCUUUUUUUCAAAUCUCUUUUGGUAUUUAUGUCAAGUAGUAGUGUUAAGUCAAAGGAUGUGCAUGAAUAGUUUAUAGCCCUUUGAGCACAGAUCAUAUCUUCUGAUCAUUUAUCAACUUGGGCAUGACUCUUUUAUUUUGUAUAAAUUUGACUCAGUUCCUUCUACAUUUGAGAAAUGAGGUCUUAUCAGAAAAUCUUCCUUCAAAUGUUUUUUACACUUAUUAUUGCUAACUGUAAUUUCCCCCCAUUUAUUCUCUCUCCUUUCAUCGUGUCCCUCAAGUGUUUUGGUACUAAUCACCUAUCUCCCAAUAUGCUCUCUCUUUUAUCACCUUUCUCUCACUCUUAUAUCCCAUUCCCCUCCUGUUUUUCUGCAGGAUAAGAUAGAUCCCUAUUGAGUAUAUUUUCCUCUUUGAGUCAGUUCUGAUGAGAAUAAGGUUUAUUCUCUCAAGCUCUCCUUCCUUUCUUCCCCUCCACUAUAAAAGCUUUUUUCUUGUCUCUUUUUUAUGGCAAAUAACUUGCAACAUUUCACUUCUCUCUUUCUCUUUCUCCCAUUACAUUCCUCUCCCCUUAAUUUCAUCAUUUUAAAAAAAGAUGUUAUCCCCUCAUAUUCAACCCCUACCUGUGCUCUUUGUCUCUAUAUACUCCUUCUAACUCAUAAUAAUGACAAAAUUCUAAUGAGUUACCAGUAUCAUCCUCCCACGUGGGAAUGUAAACAGAUAAACCUUAUGAAGAUCCUUCAUAUCACUUUCCUGAUUACCUUCUUAUGCCUCUUCACAGUCCUGUAUUUGAAAAUCUUUUUCAUCCAUUCAUCUCUGGUCUUACCAUAGCAUUUUCACAAAUGCUUGAAAAUCUUCUCUUUCACUCUUUCUCAUUUUUUCCUCUGAAGUAUUAUACUCAGUUUUGCUGGGUAGAUUAUUCUUGGAUGCAAUCAUAUCUCCAUUACUCUCUAGAAUAUCAUAUACCAAUCCCUCCAGUCCUUUAAUGUAGAAGUUGUUAAAUCUUGUGCUAUCAUGACUAUAGUUCCACCAUACUUGAAUUGUUUCUGGAUGCUUGCAAUUCCAGAAUUUGAGAGUUCUGGAACUUAAUUAUAAUAUUUUUGGAAGUUUUCAUUUUGGGAUCUUCUUUAGGAGAUGAUCAGUAGAUUCUUUUAAUUUCUGUUUUACUCUGAUUUAGAAUAUCAGAACAGUUUUCCUUGAUAAUGUCUUUUUUUUUUUUUUUUUUUAAUAAUGUCUUGAAAGAUGAUGUCCAGGCUCUUUUUUUGAUCAUAACUUUCAGGUAAACCAAUAAUUUUAAAAUUAUCUCUCCUUGAUCUAUUUUGCUCUCAGGAAAAAAAAAAAAAACCUGGAAAAUCCUCCAUGAAGUCAAGUGAAAUUACUGUACACAAUAGCAAUAUUCUGGAAUGACCAGCUGCAAAGACUGCUGUUCUCAGUAGUUCAGUCAUCCAUGACUACUCUGAAGAAUUUAUGAUGAAAAUCCUAUCCAUACUCAGAGAAGAAACUGAUUAUGUCAGAAUACAGAUUGAAGCAUUCUCUCUCUCUAAAAAACAAAACAAAACAAAAAACCCUUAAUUUUUUUUGAGGGUUUUUAUUUCCAUUAGGGUGGAAGAGCUAUGAUUUUUUUCACAAUUUGACUUUUAUGGAAAUGUUUUGUAUAACUUCACAAGUGGUUUCUUAAUUGUGACUGGGGAUGAGAGAAUCUAAAACUCAAAAAAAAAAAAAUGUAAUUUUUUGUUGUUUUGAAUGUAACUGGGGAAAAUAUCAAAUAAAACAAAUAUAUUUUUAAAAUAAUAAUUUAGUAUAUUUUCUCCUAUCUGUAUAUAUGUACUUUAAAUACAAAUAAUUAUAACCAGAUAUUGUAAUUUUAUUUAUUUUUAAGGUUAUAUAUGUACUUUCAUUUUUUACAUAUGAGUUUUUGAGUUUCAUAUGAGUUAGGUUGAGAGAGAAAAAUCAGAAAAAAAGGGAAAAACCAUGAAAAAGGGG
ensembl:lncRNA